CAGAUCUUUGUCUUCGUGUAGGAGAAAAAGCGGAGAGAGUGGUCGUCUGCGUGGGUAGGAGAAAAGAAGCAGAGAGAGGUCUUGUAUAUAGAACGCUUGAAUUAAUAGUCUUUUCAACCAAAAAUAUCCAACAAAAAUAUCACUGAAGAUUGAACUAACCAAAAUUUGAAAUAAGAUAAAUGUGACCCAAAUCAACUACAUAACAGCACAAAAUAAAACUUCCC